GCGGCCAAAGGGAAAGGAUAAGAUCUAAACUUACCAUGAUAAGGUUUUAAGUUCAAAUAAACUCUAUCCUUAACAAACAUUUGAAUGAACCCUUCAUCCAAAUCCCAAAUGGCGUGGAGAUAGGAUAUGCAUAGAGAGGUUGGCGUGGCUAAGGAGAUAGGAUCAAGGAGAGGGUGACAACACUUGAACCUGUGCCCCUCUUCCUUAUCCAUCCACCAAGUGGCACACCAAUCUGAUAUUGGCAUCCACUUUGGGUGACAAAGAAGAGAUAGAGUCCCAGU
rnacentral:lncRNA from 1 species